rnacentral:rRNA from 1 species
CAGCCGCCGCGGGAAUACGUAGGGUGCAAGCGUUAUCCGGAAUUAUUGGGCGUAAAGAGCUCGUAGGCGGUUUGUCGCGUCUGCUGUGAAAACUGGAGGCUCAACCUCCAGCCUGCAGUGGGUACGGGCAGACUAGAGUGCGGUAGGGGAGAUUGGAAUUCCUGGUGUAGCGGUGGAAUGCGCAGAUAUCAGGAGGAACACCGAUGGCGAAGGCAGAUCUCUGGGCCGUAACUGACGCUGAGGAGCGAAAGCGUGGGGAGCGAACAGGAUUAGAUACCCCAGUAGUCUCUGUCUCUUAUAC